rnacentral:rRNA from 1 species
CAGUCCCGCGGUAACACGAGGGGGGCAAGCGUUGUUCGGAAUUAUUGGGCGUAAAGGGUGCGUAGGCGGCGAUCAAAGUCAGGCGUGAAAUUCCUGGGCUCAACCUGGGGGCUGCGCUUGAUACUUGGUUGCUUGAGUGGGGAAGAGGGUCGUGGAAUUCCCAGUGUAGAGGUGAAAUUCGUAGAUAUUGGGAAGAACACCGGUGGCGAAGGCGGCGACCUGGUCCUUGACUGACGCUGAGGCGCGAAAGCGUGGGGAGCAAACAGGAUUAGAUACCCCGGUAGUCCCUGUCUCUUAUACA